UACGGGGGGGCAAGCGUUGUUCGGAAUUACUGGGCGUAAAGGGCUCGUAGGCGGCCAACUAAGUCAGGCGUGAAAUCCCUCGGCUUAACCGGGGAACUGCGUCUCGAUACUGGAUGGCUUGAGUUCGGGAGAGGGAGUGCGGAAUUCCAGGUGUAGCGGUGAAAAUGCGUAGAUAUCGGAGGAACACCGGUGGCGAAGGCGGCAUCCGUGGACCCGAUACGUGA
rnacentral:rRNA from 1 species